GGAUUUGGCUGCUGCUUCCCAUCCAGAGGAGAUUCCUUACGACAAACCCCUGAACAUAUACAUCUCAAAAACGGAUGCUGACAGAGUUAUGCUGCAUUGUCUUGUUCCUUAACUCCAAUCAGUUAAUCAGCCAGUGAUUAUUUGGUGCUUCUCUGUGCUAGGUUCUGGGUUAGACGCAGGCAUGGAAGACUGGGCCAGAUGGUGAAGCCGGAUGUUCAGGCCCCUGUGUCUUCUCACUCUCGGGUUGGCCCCUCUCUUCAUCUGUUCACC
rnacentral:lncRNA from 1 species